rnacentral:lncRNA from 1 species
UGCAGACAUUUGAAAGCGUAAAGGGAGGGUGGAGGAUGUCUUUUUUUCUCUCUCUCUCCCUCCUCUCUCUCUCUCUCUCUCCUCUCUCUCUCUCUCUCUCUCUUUCCCUCUCCUGAAUUAUUCAUAGUGUCAGUGGUGAAGCCAGGACUAUUAGCAUGCAUCAGACAUGCUGUUUGUCUGUUUGCUAACAUUCUUCAUUCAAGACUUGUUAACUACCAGACAAGCUUAACACGCUUCUCUUUUUUCCCCUCCCCUUCCCUCUCCCUGUGUCUCUGUCUCUGCGCGCCUGCCUCCCCUCAUUUCUGCCUUCCCUUGCCUUGCCUUUCAUGCCACCCCUCUCAGCCUCCCAUUGUUGUUGCCGAGAGCUGGCAGCCAGGGGUGGCGGUGGCAGGGGAAGCAUGCGGACGAGGAGCCGGAGCCCGGUUGCUAGCAUACUAGCCUGGAUGCAAUCUCCCUGUAAGGAGUGUGAAAUGUACAGCUGCAAAACUACAGUUUUAAGCAAAAAAAAAGCUCUUCCUCAUCUGAACCAUCAUUCAAAACACAAGAUGAAAGUAGCUGAAGAAAAGUUGUUUAUGAUAUCAUCUGCAGGACUCCUAGAAAAUUCUUUGGAAACUUGGGCUCUCCUUGAAGCCGGAGACAAAAUUCAACUUGAUGUCAGUGGGAAUUUGAAGGAAACCCAUGAUGCUGCUUCUGUCAUGUGA